GCUUGUCUCAAAGAUUAAGCCAUGCAUGUCUAAGUAUACGCAAAUUAUACUGUGAAACUGCGAAUGGCUCAUUAAAUCAGUUAUAGUUUAUUUGAUGUUUCUUGCUACAUGGAUAACUGUGGUAAUUCUAGAGCUAAUACAUGCGUAAAAAGCCCCGACUUCUGGAAGGGGUGUAUUUAUUAGAUAAAAACCAUCCUCCUCGGAGUUUGGCGAUUCAUAAUAACUUCUCGAAUCGCACGGCCUUGUGCUGGCGAUGCUUCAUUCAAAUAUCUGCCCUAUCAACUGUCGAUGGUAGGAUAGAGGCCUACCAUGGUUGCAACGGGUAACGGGGAAUAAGGGUUCGAUUCCGGAGAGGGAGCCUGAGAAACGGCUACCACAUCCAAGGAAGGCAGCAGGC
rnacentral:rRNA from 1 species